rnacentral:rRNA from 1 species
UAGUGGCGAACGGGUGAGUAACACGUGGGCAAUCUGCCCUUCACUCUGGGACAAGCCCUGGAAACGGGGUCUAAUACCGGAUACGACUGCGGGAGGCAUCUCCUGUGGUGGAAAGCUCCGGCGGUGAAGGAUGAGCCCGCGGCCUAUCAGCUUGUUGGUGGGGUAAUGGCCUACCAAGGCGACGACGGGUAGCCGGCCUGAGAGGGCGACCGGCCACACUGGGACUGAGACACGGCCCAGACUCCUACGGGAGGCAGCAGUGGGGAAUAUUGCACAAUGGGCGAAAGCCUGAUGCAGCGACGCCGCGUGAGGGAUGACGGCCUUCGGGUUGUAAACCUCUUUCAGCAGGGAAGAAGCGAAAGUGACGGUACCUGCAGAAGAAGCGCCGGCUAACUACGUGCCAGCAGCCGCGGUAAUACGUAGGGCGCAAGCGUUGUCCGGAAUUAUUGGGCGUAAAGAGCUCGUAGGCGGCUUGUCACGUCGGAUGUGAAAGCCCGAGGCUUAACCUCGGGUCUGCAUUCGAUACGGGCUAGCUAGAGUGUGGUAGGGGAGAUCGGAAUUCCU